GGGGACCGGGAGGGAGACCGGGAGGGGGGUAGCUGGAUCCCCGGUCCCCCCUUGGGGGGGGGGCUUGUGUGUAAAUGUGUAAAUAGAAGGAAAACUGAAGAGGCCCCCCAGGGAGAUUCUUCAGGUUGAUUUGUUUAACGGACAAAUGUGGUGAAAUGAAAUGGGCAAUUAUGUCUCUAUUUUUAACACUUUCUUCCUUUCUUUUUAACAAACAAUCAGUUGUUUUUUUUAAAGGACAUGUGAAUGUUUUUUCUAAUGAGAAAAAGCCUCCAUCUUGUAUUAAUUUACUUUUACUGUGCAUAUAAAGUACAUGGGCGCUUCAUAGCUCACCGGUGUGCGACCCUGAAUGAUGUGUAAAUACAUAAUGUUUAACCAAAGCUGUUGUCUCUCAGGGCCAGAUAUAUCUAUUUUUGUACUUUCUAGGAUGUUUUUGAGUGGGCAUUAUGGGUUAAAUGGUUCAUAAGUUGUUUGGCAGAAUGCUUUGGAGGGUGAUGUUGAGUCAAUAUAUCAGAAGGCCUCUACAGAACAGAUCAGUUUUAAAUGAUUUCAUCAUCACAGCACACACUAACAACCACCCAGGCUGGAUAUGGAGCUCUGGGCAAGUUUAUUCAGAUCAUUGAGACUUCAAUCACAAACAUCACGGGAUUCCCUCGGGUGAGAGUAGAGACGGAGUAGAGAUGGAUGCAAUAUAUAGUUCAGCCAAUGACACUUACGGUUGCCCGCUUGCCCGGGGCAAGUAAAAAAAAUGUUUGGGCAAGUUGAGAUUUUUUCUGGUUGCCCGAACGGGCAAGUGGAUUUUGGGUGGAUGUUAAUAUAAAGGCUAUUUAUUCAAAUGUUUUUAGAAACUGCAGAACAACCUUUUGUUCCGCAAAAUCACACAAAAUAGAAGUAUGUCAGCGCGCUGUCUUCUCUUCUCUCGGAAAGCGAGUUAACAGACACUCAUCGCUUCAGUGCGAAUAUAGCCCUGCCUUCUGUCAAUCACUCGCAGUGCGGUCUCUGGCAGUGAUUCGUAGGGGAACACUGUUGUUUUUCUUUGGUCGUCAUGAAAAAACCCAUAAGGGGUAACACUGUCGUUUUUUAUUGGUCGUCAUGAAAAAAAACAUAAGGGGUAACACUGUUGUUUUUUAUUGGUCGUCAUGAAAAAAAACAUAAGGGGUAACACUGUUGUUUUUUAUUGGUCGUCAUGAAAAAUAACAUAAGGGGUAACACUGUUGUUUUUUAUUGGUCGUCAUGAAAAAAAACAUAAGGGGAAACACUGUUGUUUUUUAUUGGUCGUCAUGAAAAAAAACAUAAGGGGGGUAACACUGUUGUUUUUUAUUGGUCGUCAUGAAAAAAAAACAUAAGGGUAACACUGUUGUCUUUGUCAAAUAAAAUAUAAGAGGUAACACUGUCGUUUUUUAUUGGUUGUCAUGAAAAAAACCAUAAGGGAAAUAAUAGAAAUACACACAUACAUUUUAAUGUCAUGUAUAUCCUCUUUAUUGAUGAUUGAUUAUUGUGUAUUUUCAUCGCCUCAGUGGUGCAGUGGAGUGCACUCUGCCUAACCCACUGGAGACCAUGGCUCAAUAUCUGUGGAAUAUACAAUAUCUUUAAUUUUAAACGUAAUGCUAUCAUGUCUAUUGUCAUAUAUAACCUCAGACAUAAAUAAAAUAGAAAUCUCAGUGGGAAGUGGAGAGAGCUGUGAGCUAACCCCUGGAGACCGGGGUUCAAGUCCAGUGGAAGUCUUCUGUUGGAACACUCUUAUCACUAUUUCAUGUUAAUUAUUAAGUCAAGUAUAACCUUUGUGAUGAGUUUAUCCGGUGUCUUGAUGGUGCAUUGUUAAGUUCGGAGGUUUACACUCUAAACAGCUCAUGUUCGGAUCCCCGCAUAAAUGUUGACAGAGGUGCCACUGCUGUUAUUUAUUGGUCAACAUGGAAAAAACAUGAGGGGUAACACUGUUGUUUUUUAUCGGUCGUCAUGAAAAAAACAUAAGGGGUAACAAUGUCCAUAUUUAUCAAUUAAAACAUAAGUGGUAACACUGUCGUUUUUAUCAAAUGAAACAUGAGGGGUGACACUGUCGUUUUUGUCUUUGGUCGUCAUGAAAAAAACCAUAAGGGGUAACACUGUUGUUUUGUAUUGGUCGUCAUUAAAAAAAAAUAUAAGGGGUAACACUGUUGUUUUUUAUUGGUCAUCAUGAAAAAAACAUAAGGGGGAACACUGUCGUAUUUUAUUGGUCUUCAUGAAAAAAAACAUAAGGGGUAACACUGUCGAUAUUUAUUAAUUAAAACAUAGGGGGUAACACUGUCGUUUUUAUCAAAUGAAACAUGAGGGGUGACACUGUCAUUUUCCUUGGUCGUCAUGAAAAAAAACAUAAGGGGUAACACUGUUGUUUUUUAUUGGUCAUCAUGAAAAAAAACAUAAGGGGUAACAAUGUUGUUUUUUAUUGGUCGUCACGAAAAAAAGAAUAAGGGGUAACACUGUUGUCUUUGUCAAAUAAAAUAUAAGGGGUAACACUGUCGUAUUUUAUUGGUCAUCAUGAAAAAAAACAUAUAAAAAAAAUAAAAUAAAUUGUCCUUGUCAAAUAAAAUAUUUUCAUCAGUCAUCACGGCAAAAAAACAUAAGGGGUAACACUGUCGUUUUUUAUCAAAUGAAACGUAAAGGGUAACACUGACAUCGUUUUUUAUCUGUCAUCAUGAAAAACCCAUAAUGGGUAACACUGUCGAAAUGUAUCGAAUAAAAACAUAUGGGGAAUGGUAAUUAAACAGCCUCCACUUAUUCCAACAGUCCAAACCAUAUCAUUCUGUGACAAAAACUCGCAAAUAACAACUUAAGAAGAAACGUCCCCUUUUCUUUUAACAACCAAAAAUGAAGUAUUACCUUUGUGAUUUUUGUCCACAAAGUUGAUUCUGAUCGAAUAAAACCACCAUAAACAGAUUAUCCAGUGUCUGGGCCAAAUUUUGCAACUAAACAUGGUGUUUUCAAUCAAUGAAUAAGAGAAGGUUUCGUAGGGAAUAGGUAAAUUGCCUUCAAUCAGAAAACAUAUUCUUCAGCGCAAUCUAUUGCCAUAUAUUUAUUUGCGAGUGUUUGGCUUGGAUUGGUGCAUUCGAUUAUAUUUGCCCUGAACUUUAGAUAGUGUCAAGUGUCAAAAUUGUAAGAUAUCUACCUUUAUUUGUGUCUCAUAGUAAGACAGCGCUCCCAACUGAUAACGACCAACUGAUAAUUAUUUCAGGUGGAAAUGUUAUAUUCCACUUAUGCUGUGUUCCAUGGCUUUAUUCACUCUAACCAAGUAUUAUCCCCAUUGAAUAUUUCACUUGCACAACAAUCUUUCUUUUGGCACAAAGAUGACAUUAUCACCCUUGCAGUUGUGGAGAUAUACUCUAUUUACUUUGGGUAUGAUCUUUCCUGAAAAUUUUUUUUCCUCAUAUCAAAAAUGGCAUAGAAUAUCGAUAUUUUUCCAGGUAUAGUGUUGAAGUUAGAAAAUCCAGUAUCGUGACUGACAACACUACUAGAAACGCGAUUUGAUUAGAGCUACAAGAAACUUGAAUGUUAAAAUAGACAUAUCGUUGUUACUACCUCUGACAUUUAGUUAUGUACAUUUGCUUAAAUCAUGCAGGUCUACAUAUAACUUGGCGAUAGCUUUUAUAGGUUGCAAUGGUGGACUGAAAUCACUUCAUGGCACGAUGUGACCGCUCGAUAAAUCAGUAAACAAAGAGAAGUUUGUUAUUUUUGUGUGUGGAAGCUAACAUUCAGCUUCAGUCUGAGCUAGGAUGAUUUUUCUGAGCCCCCCCAAAACCAGGCCGCGUGCCUGGCAAAAAGAGUCCCGUUCACGAUUCUGAUUAUAAUUUGGGCAAGUGAACAUUACAUUCGGGCAAGUUAAACCUGACCUGUACUUGCCCGAUGGGCAAGUGCUUUUGAAGUCUUAGUGUCAACCCUAGUAGUUGGAUUAGAGAGAGUAGAGAUAGUUAGAUUAGAGAUAGAGAUAGAGUAGAUAGAUUAGUAGAUAGAUUAGAGAUAGUUUAGAGAUCGACAUGGUGGAUUCUGCUAUUCCUUCUGGUGAUCUCUGACCUCAGGGCAAACAGAUCACUACUCAUAUACUGUGUAUACUAUAUUCUCAAAUAUGUACUCCAUAUUAAAGCUGAAAUGAUGAAGCCUUUACUUGAUGUUUGACUCUUUAACUUUAUCAGACAACAUUCAGCUUCAGUUAUCU
ensembl:lncRNA